rnacentral:lncRNA from 1 species
ACUGAUGAGAUCUAAUACCACCAAAAGAAAGGGCAUCCUCAAAAGAGUAGAAACUUCCUUCAAAUUAAGCAGAAAUUUUGGAGAAACCACAGCAGGAGGAAUGACGCUGCUUCCACUACAGUAUAUGAGAAAGAAGAUGUUUAUUCCUGUAGUGAAGAUAUAUCACUUAGGACAGCUUUUAACUGAGGACUGUGCCAAAGCUUCCCUGGUACUUUAUCAGACUUGCAAAUGAAGAAAGCAAUCCAUUUCUCAAAGCACUUUUGGAUUUCUUCUAGCAAUUUGAAGACUUGCUUAUAAUGUUCUGAAAACUCCUUUGUAGUCCUUCUCCAGAUGCUCUUCUGAAUUAUUCCGGAUCAUUAUGCUGAAACCAUCUCUUGAAGCACCCAUCUGAACAAAGCAUUAAGACUGUUGGUUACAUCUGCUUUGGGACUGCCCAAGAGGACUUCAUCCUGACUCUACCUUGUUACUGCAGCUCAUAUGAUACUGCCUGUCCUAUUUCCAUGUGGUUCUGCAUCUAGAAUUCUUCCACUGUUUGUUUCUUGCUAAACAUUUUUUAGCAAGCUGAGGAUAAAAUCUUCAAAUAAAAAUGACAGACUAGUGCA